CUCCCCUAGGAAAAAGGCCUGAUGCUUUGCCAGGGGCAGUUUGCUAUGGAGUUUUAUGGGGCCUCCUAUUGCACAGGCCUGACCUUUGGCUGUUAAAAAAUACACUCUCAGCUCUGUAGAUGCCAGACAGGGACAAGGUUCUUGAUGUCAAGCAAAGCAGCAGCACCUUCGUUAACCCUUUGGAGAUGUGGAGCCCUUUGGACUGGGAGGAGAAUGGCAGGCGGAGGCGAAGCUACCACACCACCAGCAUGUCAGACUCAUCCCAGUGUCACCCACAGACGAUUCCCCAGUAUGAGGAUUCCAUGUGUACAGUUCUUUGAGACGUGCCAUUUACUCAGCAUUAAUUAAGCUGGUAUCCACAAGCCUGUUUUGCACAAUACUGUAUUCAAACAACAGCUAUUGUGCCACAUUUUUUAUAGAUUAAUAACAUGGAUUAUAAACUAGGUAUCACAGGUCAAAACACAUGUCCCUAUCAGACAGUUUAAGUGGAACUGUGAAAUUAAAGUGACUUGAUCCCGCUAUUUCUUUGUGCAGAACUAUUUGCCUGUGCAGAAUCCAAAGCUCUGCUUGCCCUUCCAGGUAGACUUGAGGAACCUGUUCAGUUAGAGGGCUUAGGGCUAAAUCAUGAGAAGGACAGGAGGAAACAAGCAGAGUCUUCAUGUCAAAUGCACACAUUAAGCAAGGACAUAGGACAAAACUCAUCCCCCACCCAAGCAAGAGUCUUAAUCAACAGGUUACAAGGUUACGCUCUCACUGCCUCCCAUCAAUAAAUCUUGACUGCUCACAGGAGAGGUUUGUAAGAGCAGCCCCAGAACGGCCUGUAUCUUGGUUGUUCAGGCACUGAAGGCAGAGCUAUGCAUCCGAAACCUUUAUGCUUUCAUAUGAAGGCAGAGUCUCUGUGCAGAUGCUCAAGCACCAAAAAAAGGAAGGACUCAUUUCUCCCUCAUCUCCUGUCUUCAGAUCAGACCAGGAUGCCUUUCUGGAUAAUCUGCCUGGGGCUGUGCUUGCCUUACAGUCUCCUGCCCUGCCAGCAAUGCUGUUUUAGUAGAGGAGUGAGGCAGAAGUCUCUCCCACAAGCAUUAAUAAGCAGCAACAUUGUUAAACUUUAACAGAUCUUAAUUUUGGUGGUGCACAAAUACAGCUAAAUUAUCCCAGUGCAAUGACAGUUGUGCCUGAGAGCUGCAUUCAUACCAAAAAUGUUUUAUUAGCACAUUGUACUGACACACCUACUACAGUAAGGCAUGCCCUCUGUAGAUGUGACCCAAGACUAUCACUAUGAAGCAGCUGUAUUCAAGGGGUUGCAAACUGAGAAUGGAAACUGGGCUGCAAAUGCCAAAAGAUAAAGACUUUGAGAACCAGGGCUGCUGCAGCUUUCCUUCAAAUUUCAGUCAGUUCAGCGCCCAUCUUUUAAAAGAUGGAGGCCAGAGCUGGAUGCAGUAUCGCAAUAUUGCUUUUACAACCAACAUUUACAGAAAAUAAUUUGCCUGCUGAAUUCUCUAUUUAAUACACACACAACUUUUUUGACAUUCUUCAGUACUGAGCAUUCGUUCAGUUGCUUCUCCGAUGAUUCAAAUCUUUUUCAGGAUGGAAUCUCCUCAUUUGUGGUUCCUGGACAUACUACGAU